GCAGUCAGUAUCAGGGAGAAAUGGCUCUUGUGACAGCUAUUUACCAGAUGCAGAAUUCCAGGAACGUACUGUCACAAGCAGAUGGUGCAACUCGGUGGUGGGCAUAUUGUUGAUGUGGGUGCCUUUGUCCUGUAGAUCUCUAAGAGUCACAGCCAGCUUCGCUUUAUUAGCCCCAUUCUCCUCAAAAAUUCCCCAUGCUUACAAACACCAAAUGUGGGCUUCUGACAUCUCUUCAGGGGCGCUGAGAGUCAGUGACGAGACUGGGAAAAGAAAGCCCAAAUAGAAUUCCUCUCCCUUACAACUUGAAGUACCUCCUCUCUGAGCAGUGCAAGUGGUCUAGGCUGGAGGGAAAGGGGAAAUUGCUUUGUUUGCUAAAGCAUGAACACACUUUUUUACCCUGAUCCAAGCACAAGAUUCCAGCCCAACCCUAUGGGUGGGCGCUGUUGCCACACCACGAAGCCAUGGCCUUUGCUUUGCCACUGGUGGGAGCAGGAUGAAGAGGGUCAGGAGAGUGCCUUGGUGGAGAAGGCACAGUGCCAUCCUAGAUGCCUGGAGAUGAGCCUCGUGCCACUGCUGCUGCAGCCCUCCAGGCCACCUUGAUGUCACUCAAGGACUUGGGACUGCAGUCUCUGAGGGGUGAAGCUCUAAGUUCCUUGUAGAUAUGCAAUUUUGUCUUUUCAAGACAUGUAAGAUCACAGCGAGGAUAGGGGUGGGUUUCUUGCUGACGUCUUCACACUAAUGGGCAAAAAGAUGGUCUGAGUGGUCCCGUUGGUGUGUCGUGAGUGACCAGUUCUAAUUCAAGUUCAUUUCUGGUGAUGAGAGCCCAGGCCAGGAGGCUGCCCCAACACCAGAACAUCCCUGAUCUUUUUGUUCUCAUUUCCUAGCACCCAGUUUGACUCAUCCAUUGUCCCUACAGAUUUCUUGCCAGUGAGAACUCACUUAGCAUUUUAAUCCAUUAAUUUGCUGCUGCAGAGCCAGCUCUGCCUCGCAGAUGCCAAGGCAUUGAAAGAUUGCUGUCUGUAAAGUUUAUUUGGUAAUAAAAUACAAAAGCAUCUCCAAUACCAGAUGGUUAAGGUAGUGCUUUGUCUGAUUGUCAUUGUGAACCUCCAUGAAGACUGUAGCUGGAAUGUUAGUAGGAGUGUGGGACCAGGAAAUAGAUCAGGGAAGGAACUAUGGGCUUCCACAGAAGCCGCUGCUGGGUUGGUGAGGCUAAAUUGGAGUUUAAAGGCUGACAUUCUAAUAAGCUACAAUAUCUUU